GACGAACGCUGGCGGCGUGCCUAAUACAUGCAAGUAGGACGCAGUUGCGAACGGGUGAGUAACGCGUAGGUAACUACCUAUUAGAGGGGGAUAACUAUUGGAAACGAUAGCUAAUACCGCAUACUAGUAGAUGGACCUGCGUUGUAUUAGCUAGUAGGUAGGGUAAUGGCCUACCUAGGCAACGAUACAUAGCCGACCUGAGAGGGUGACCCGGCACACUGGGACUGAGUCACGGCCCAGACUCCUUCGGGAGGGAGCAGUAGGGGAGUGUCGUCAAUUGGGGGAACCCCGACCGAGCAAAGGCGCGUGAGUGAAGGAGGUUUUCGGAUCGUAAAGCUCUGUUGUUAAGGAAGCGGUACUUAACCAGAAAGGGCCGGCUAACUACGUGCCAGCCGCCGCGGUAAUUC
rnacentral:rRNA from 1 species